rnacentral:rRNA from 1 species
AUGAACGCUGGCGGCGUGCUUAACACAUGCAAGUCGAACGAGAAUCACUGGAAGGAGUUUUCGGACAACGGAAGGUGAGGACAGUGGCGGACGGGUGAGUAACGCGUGAGGAACCUGCCUUUCAGAGGGGGACAACAGUUGGAAACGACUGCUAAUACCGCAUGACACAUAGAGAUCGCAUGGUUUUUAUGUCAAAGAUUUAUCGCUGAAAGAUGGCCUCGCGUCUGAUUAGCUGGUUGGUGAGGUAACGGCUCACCAAGGCUGCGAUCAGUAGCCGGACUGAGAGGUUGAACGGCCACAUUGGGACUGAGAUACGGCCCAGACUCCUACGGGAGGCAGCAGUGGGGAAUAUUGGGCAAUGGGCGAAAGCCUGACCCAGCAACGCCGCGUGAAGGAAGAAGGCGUUCGGGUUGUAAACUUCUUUUAAGAGGGACGAAGGACGUGACGGUACCUCUUGAAUAAGCCACGGCUAACUACAUGCCAGAGGCGCGGUAGUACGUAGGUGGGGGGGGGUUGUCGGGAGU